GGCUCGGUGGCGGAGUGGUCCGCGACUGCUCACCGCAAUGCAAACCAAGUACGUAGAGGACGCUCGUUCGAUUCGGGCUCGAGCCA